rnacentral:ncRNA from 1 species
UGGGCUACAGAACUUCUGUUUACUUAGUACGCAUGACAAUUUCCAAAAAAUAUUGCUUAGUAAAUACCAUAACAAGUUGCAAGUAAUUUAUUGGAAUUUUAAGGUUAAAAUUCCACGAAGGUUUAUGUUUCAUAUCCAGUGUUCAUAUUUGGGUGGCUUCAGAACAGAACCAAACUUACAAAAGGUCUUCUGGAACAGGACUCUGAUUCUACUUUGUUGUUUUUCAGAAAUGGAGUCAUCAUUAAGAGAGACAGCCAGGGGCAUUCAUAUUGUGCUGCUAGAGGUGAAAUUCUUGGACUAGUGCACAAGUGAAGGCGUUUGCCAAGAAUGUUUUCAUUAAUCAGGAACGAAAGUCAGAGCUUCAAAGACAACCAAACGUCAUCGUAGUUCCAGCCAUAAAUUACACUGACUGGUGAAAAAGUUUCUUGGGGGCAGUCUCUGUGGUGCA